rnacentral:rRNA from 1 species
AGAGUUUGAUCAUGGCUCAGAUUGAACGCUGGCGGCAGGCCUAACACAUGCAAGUCGAACGGUAACAUGACUAGCUUGCUAAACGAUGACCAGUGGCGGACGGGUGAGUAAUGCUUGGGAACUUGCCUUUGCGAGGGGGAUAACAGUUGGAAACGACUGCUAAUACCGCUUAAUGUCUACGGACCAAACGGGGCUUCGGCUCCGGCGCAAACAUAGGCCCGAGUGAGAUUAGCUAGUUGGUAAGGUAAUGGCUUCCAAGGCACCAA